rnacentral:rRNA from 2 species
CAUAAACGACUCUCGGCAACGGAUAUCUCGGCUCACGCAUCGAUGAAGAACGUAGCAAAAUGCGAUACUUGGUGUGAAUUGCAGAAUCCCGUGAACCAUCGAGUUUUUGAACGCAAGUUGCGCCCGAAGCCUUUUGGUCGAGGGCACGUCUGCCUGGGCGUCACAC